GAUGAACGCUGGCGGCGUGCCUAAUACAUGCAAGUCGAGCGAGCGGCGGACGGGUGAGUAAUGUCUGGGAAACUGCCUGAUGGAGGGGGAUAACUACUGGAAACGGUAGCUAAUACCGCAUACCAUCAGAUGUGCCCAGAUGGGAUUAGCUAGUAGGUGGGGUAAUGGCUCACCUAGGCGACGAUCCCUAGCUGGUCUGAGUGGAUGACCAGCCACACGGGAACUGGGACACGGUCCAGACUCCUACGGGAGGCAGCAGUGGGGAAUAUUGCACAAUGGGCGCAAGCCUGAUGCAGCCAUGCCGCGUGUAUGAAGAAGGCCUUCGGGUUGUAAAGUACUUUCAGCGAGGAGGCGUUACUCGCAGAAGAAGCACCGGCUAACUCCGUGCCAGCAGCCGCGGUAAUAC
rnacentral:rRNA from 1 species